rnacentral:tRNA from 1 species
GCGCUGGUGGCCGAGCUGGGGGCUCUCGGGCUGGCGCCCCGGGAGCGGGGCAAGGGGCACAACAUCUGGCUCGGUCUCGGGCUGGUGCA